GGAAAAGGAAGUGCGAAUAAGCAGGGGUCACAUGAGAGUCUCCCGGCCUCUAGAGGGGAGCAUCCAAAAACAUGGCCCCAGGAUUAGGGGGAUGUUCUGUCAUGUCUAGACAACAGGACACAAAAGGCUUCACCCAUGUGGCUGAACACUGAAGCUCAGGAUUUCACAUCCUCCUCCCUGACACACACGUCCUGCCAGGUCACCCAGAGUCCUUGCCACCUGCCCUGAACCAGAAACCAUGGGCAUCAUGGCCACAUUUAGUGGCUGUCAAUCAGCUGGUGACAAACUUGCCAUCCGUCACAUGAUUCAUAUAGAGCCACAUAUCCUUGCUGUGUCUGAAGAAACUGGUCGCCAUAGUACCAUCCAGGUAGAAGCAAGGACAUCUCAGUCUCCCUGAAGAUUCCAGCAUGAGAAAGAGGUUUAUGAAUAUCAUCUCCCACCAAGAAGAACCAGGGACCUUGGAGAAAUGGUGCAGGGCUGUGGCAGGGAGAAGAUGGGUGGGCCUGGAGUAUCUUCUUAGGCUGGUCAGUAAGGAAAGAAGACAACAACAAAAUAGAUGAGUGGCGCAGGAUAGGGUUCAAGGAGGGCCCCUCACACACCUCACGGUGGAAAUGGGGGCCGCCACUCGAUCUGCCAAGUAGCUUCUUUACUCUUGUCACAGAUAAAGAAUUCUAGGAUGUGUCGGUGUGAGGCACAGGUAGAUUUCCUAGGCAGAGUUAGAAUGUAAGGCGGAAUGGGAAAAGGACUGUGCCUUGAACAGUUUGAGGGCGUUCACUGGGAUGCUGGGGUUCAGACUGGUCACUCCCAAAAGCACAAGGCCAUAUUUCAUGUAUUAGUUGUGGUGGGUAAGGGAUGCAGUGAUCCUUAUCUCAGUUCUUGUUUCCUAGGUCCAGAGGAAUCCUUAUGGCUCAAGGGGCAAUCAGUUCCCAUGAGAUGACCUUCCUUACUCAGCAGGGACACUGCCUCGAUUUUCAUCAUGGGAAGAUCACAAGAAGG
rnacentral:lncRNA from 1 species